rnacentral:rRNA from 1 species
CCUACGGGGGGCAGCAGUGGGGAAUAUUGCACAAUGGGGGAAACCCUGAUGCAGCGACGCCGCGUGAGUGAAGAAGUAUCUCGGUACGUAAAGCUCUAUCAGCAGGGAAGAAAAUGACGGUACCUGACUAAGAAGCCCCGGCUAACUACGUGCCAGCAGCCGCGGUAAUACGUAGGGGGCAAGCGUUAUCCGGAUUUACUGGGAGUAAAGGGAGCGUAGACGGCAGCACAAGUCUGGAGGGAAAUCCCGGGUCUUAACCCCGGAACUGCUUUGGAAACUGUGCGGCUGGAGUGCAGGAGUGGUAAGCGGAAUUCCUCGUGUAGCGGUGACAUGCGUAGAUAUUCGGAGGAACCCCGGUGGC